rnacentral:lncRNA from 10 species
UGCUGUGCUGAGAGGAAGCCCAGAUGCUUGUCGGUUCAUCCGAGGGACUCAGGGUGUCCUGCUCUGGUGUCUUGUCAACCCUCAUCACCCUGAGGGUGACACCGAGGCUCUCGAAGGGGACGGGACCUGCCCAUGAGUCACAGCCCACCUCGUGUUUCCCACAUCCAGCUGCCUGCUCUGUGCAUGCAGCAAGGGCUCAGCCACCGUGAGCUUCUCAGCCUCCCCGGGGCUGCAGACCCAGCACCUGGGGCCUCACCUUCCCAGAGACUGGCCCAGGUGGUAAAGCGGCAGCGCGAACUUCCUAGGAGUGAGGGACGAGGGUGAACAAAGGGCAUGGGAGGGAACAAGGGCAUAUUUCCUACCCCUUA